UUACGGCCAUAUCAGGUUGAAACACCGGUUCUUGUACAAUUACCGAAGUUAAGCAAUGUCAAGACUGGUUACUGCCUUAAUGGGUGACUGCUUGGGAAUACCAGGUGCUGUAAG